rnacentral:tRNA from 1 species
GGCGCCCUAGUUUAAUCUAGAACCUCUAACUUGCACUUAGAAAGUAGAGUUUUUCUCUGAUCGCCA